rnacentral:rRNA from 1 species
UGGGGAAUAUUGCACAAUGGGCGAAAGCCUGAUGCAGCAACGCCGCGUGAGUGAUGAAGGCCUUCGGGUUGUAAAGCUCUGUCUUUUGGGACGAUAAUGACGGUACCAAAGGAGGAAGCCACGGCUAACUACGUGCCAGCAGCCGCGGUAAUACGUAGGUGGCAAGCGUUGUCCGGAUUUACUGGGCGUAAAGGAUGCGUAGGCGGAUUUUUAAGUGAGAUGUGAAAAUCCUAAGCUUAACUUGGGGACUGCAUUUCAUACUGGAAAUCUAGGGUGCGGGAGAGGAGAAUGGAAUUCCUAGUGUAGCGGUGAAAUGCGUAGAGAUUAGGAAGAACACCAGUGGCGAAGGCGAUUCUCUGGACCGUAACUGACGCUGAGGCAUGAAAGCGUGGGUAGCAAACAGGAUUAGAUACCCUGGUAGUCCACGCCGUAAACGAUGAGUACUAGGUGUAGGAGGUAUCGACCCCUUCUGUGCCGCAGUUAACACAAUAAGUACUCCGCCUGGGAAGUACGAUCGCAAGAUUAAAAACUUAAAGGAAUUGAC